UAAAAAUUAUAAAUAAUUUUUUGAAAAAUUUAUUUCGAGAACCGGAAGUCAUAGAGACUUGGGAACCUUCACCAAUAAUCUUAAAUUCAUGUGACCUUUAAUAUGCACCCAAGGUCAAAGGUCACCGAGUGCAAAAAAAAAUUACGCUGCAAUUUCAAGCUUACAUAUUAGGAAAACGAUAAGACUUUGCUGCAUACAUACAGCGUAUAAAAUGUUCUUCUCGACGAGCUCUACAUUUUAUACAAUAAGCCCAAAAAUGUCCGACCGUCUGUUCAAAAGUUACAACGGGAUGAUUCUUAAAAGUAUAGUAUUGUGUGUAUAUCUUUUUAAAUGUAACAGAUAUCAACCUACUAUAAACUGCAAAGAUGAUCAGUAAUUCAAGACCUUCAAUUUGAGGUCAAUGUCAGGUCAUGAUGAAAUUUCACCUUGACCUUCACAGUAUACAAUGACCUUGACCUUGUGAUAGUUGAAAGGUUAAGUGGUCCUGAGUUGAAUGGUGCUAGUCCCAUGUCUCUACGACUUCCGGUUCUUAAGUUUAGUAUUGCAUCAUAUAUUUGAUGAUUAAUUGUGACCUUGGUGAACUUUGAAAUUGUCCAAUUCUUUUUCUAUAAUGUUGUCCUUCAACUGUAGAUCAUUUAUCAUUUAACAGAUUUGAGAUAUCUAUUGUCGUUUUAGAGAUAAUGCAGUUUGAAGUUUUGCGAGCGGAGGCAUGUAUUUCUGAAUCAACAAGAGCUUACCACUUAAAAUGUUUAAGAAAUUGAAGAGGUUAAUAUAGUUAUAUGUUUGCCCAAAUACCAAAAACAUUCCAUGGAAAAUAACGCCAAAAAUUCAAUUUGAAAUUUUCAAGUUUUGCAUUGACUUUGUAAGUUUCAUAACUUCUAUUUAUAUAGUUGAUAUUGCAUCAUUAUUUGCACUUUG
rnacentral:lncRNA from 1 species